GGCCCAUGUUAAAGGUUACAUCUCAAUGUGUAACUGGUCACCAAAAUGUGAUGCUGUCCAAGGUCAGUUUCAGCAAGCCAGCUCGUGAGGAAAUAAUAAAGUGAGUCUUUGUAAAAAAGGACCAAACAUCGAUUGCAUAUGUAACGUAAGGAAAUAAUAAAGUGGGUCUUUGUAAAACAG